AUUGAACGCUGGCGGCAGGCCUAACACAUGCAAGUCGAGCGAGCGGCGGACGGGUGAGUAAUGUCUGGGAAACUGCCUGAUGGAGGGGGCUAACUCCUGGAAACGGUAGCUAAUACCGCAUACCCUCGGAUGUGCCCCGAUGGGAUUAGCUGGUAGGUGGGGUAACGGCUCACCUAGGCGACGAUCCCUCGCUGGUCUGAGAGGAUGACCAGCCAGACUGGAACUGGGACACGGUCCAGACUCCUACGGGAGGCAGCAGUGGGGAAUAUUGCACAAGGGGCGCAAGCCUGAUGCAGCCAUGCCGCGUGUGUGAAGAAGGCCUUCGGGUUGUAAAGCACUUUCAGCGGGGAGGCGUUACCCGCAGAAGAAGCACCGGCUAACGCCGUGCCAGCAGCCGCGGUAAUUC
rnacentral:rRNA from 1 species